rnacentral:misc_RNA from 1 species
UCUCCGUUGGUGAACCAGCGGAGGGAUCAUUACCGAAGUUACCUUCAAAACCCACUGUGAACCUUACCUCUUGCCGCGUUGUCUCGGCGGGAGGCGGUGUGCGUCGCGCGCCCUAGCGGGCCGCGCCGCUCCCGUCCCCGCCGGCAGCGCCAAACUCUAAAUGCACAGCGGACCGUACGUUCUGAUUUACAAAAAAAACAAGUUAAAACUUUCAACAACGGAUCUCUUGGUUCUG